GACGGAUGGGCUGGGACGGGUUUUGGGGGGGUGUCCCCAAUUCUGACUGGGAGUGGAGGAACCCCUCCUGAGAUCUCUUGUGGGGGUGCCCCCUCCCCAGGGCACUCCCCAGUCCCUGAGCCAGCCGAGAGGAAGGAGGCCAGCGAUGCGACUGGGGCGGCUCCUUUCUCCUGCACCCCAAAUGUGAGGGAUGCACCCUAAAUUUUGCUCUUUUCAAAAUAGGGGACCAGGAUCUCAGGGGAGAGUAGCUGAGGCCUUGCUCGGAGUCCCAGGAGAUCCACAGGUCCGGCAUGAACAGUGAGAGGUCAGAGGUGGAAGGCUCAGCAGGAGAGGAGAGGAGGAUCAGCAGAGGUCAUGAGAAGGCCAGAAUCCAGGGUCAGGCUGUCUGGAACAGGAAGUAAAAUGGGCCGAGAUGGAGCGAGCCCCCAGUGUGCUUCCAAGGCCACUCCCACCUCCCUGAAACACCCUGCUACGUACUGAUCCAAUGCCCUGCGCUGUGUAUGAGAGCACCUUCUCUUCUGAAACCCCUAUACAAGGGAGGGGCCCCUGCGGAGACCGUGCCCUGCCAUCCAGUCCUCAAGGGGAUUCUAAAAAACUAGUGACAAAGUAGGGAAGCAGCUGAGCUGGAAAGGAGUUCUGAGGACGAUGGAACCUUGGGUAAGGAGGAAGAAGGCUGCCCACCCGCCCUUUUCUGGCAGCCACCCUCCCUCACACUGUCCGUUCCUUGAUGACACAGCUGAUGUGAUUAAGAUCGUCCCCAAAUCGCUUCA
rnacentral:ncRNA from 2 species